rnacentral:rRNA from 1 species
UACAGAGGUCUCAAGCGUUGUUCGGAUUCAUUGGGCGUAAAGGGUGCGUAGGCGGCGCGGUAAGUCGGGUGUGAAAUCUCGGGGCUUAACUCCGAGACUGCAUUCGAUACUGCCGUGCUUGAGGACUGGAGAGGAGACUGGAAUUUACGGUGUAGCGGUGAAAUGCGCAGAUAUCAGGAGGAACACCGAUGGCGAAGGCAGCUCACUGGGACGGUACUGACGCUGAGGCGCGAAAGCGUGGGGAGCAAACAGG